GAUGAACGCUGGCGGCGUGCCUAAUACAUGCAAGUCGAGCGAACAGACGGGGAGCUUGCUCCUCUGACGUUAGCGGCGGACGGGUGAGUAACACGUGGAUAACCUAACUAUAAGACUGGGAUAACUUCGGGAAACCGGAGCUAAUACCGGAUAAUAUAUUGAACCGCAUGGUUCAAUAGUGAAAGACGGUUUUGCUGUCACUUGUUGAUGGAUCAGAGCCGCAUUAGCUAGUUGGUAAGGUAAGUGCUUACCAAGGCAACGGUGCGUAGCCGACCUGAGAGGGACAAUCGCCACACUGGAACUGAGACACGGUCCCGACUCCUACGGGAGGAAGCAGUCGGAACUCUUCCGCGAGGCGGGAGAGCCUGACGGAGCAAAGCCGCGUGAGUGCUGAAGCUCUUCGGCUCGGUAAACUCUGUUAUUAGGGAAGAACAAAUGUGCUUGUACCUAUGAACGUAUUGACGGUACCUAAUCAGAAAGCCCCGGCUAACUACGUG
rnacentral:rRNA from 1 species